UACGUAGGGUCCAAGCGUUGUCCGGAUUUAUUGGGCGUAAAGAGCGUGUAGGCGGCCAGGUAGGUCUGGUGUGAAAACUCGAGGCUUAACCUCGAGAUGUCAUCGGAAACCAUCUGGCUAGAGUCCGGAAGAGGAGAGUGGAAUUCCUGGUGUAGCGGUGAAAUGCGCAGAUAUCAGGAAGAACACCAAUGGCGAAAGCAGCUCUCUGGGACGGUACUGACGCUGAGACGCGAAAGCGUGGGGAGCGAACAGG
rnacentral:rRNA from 1 species